UUAAGUUAUUAAGGGCGCACGGUGGAUGCCUUGGCACUAGAAGCCGAUGAAGGACGUUACUAACGACGAUAUGCUUUGGGGAGCUGUAAGUAAGCUUUGAUCCAGAGAUUUCCGAAUGGGGAAACCCAGCAUGAGUUAUGUCAUGUUAUCGAUAUGUGAAUACAUAGCAUAUCAGAAGGCACACCCGGAGAACUGAAACAUCUUAGUACCCGGAGGAAGAGAAAGAAAAUUCGAUUCCCUUAGUAGCGGCGAGCGAAACGGGAAGAGCCCAAACCAACAAGCUUGCUUGUUGGGGUUGUAGGACACUCUAUACGGAGUUACAAAGGACGACAUUAGACGAAUCAUCUGGAAAGAUGAAUCAAAGAAGGUAAUAAUCCUGUAGUCGAAAAUGUUGUCUCUCUUGAGUGGAUCCUGAGUACGACGGAGCACGUGAAAUUCCGUCGGAAUCUGGGAGGACCAUCUCCUAAGGCUAAAUACUCUCUAGUGACCGAUAGUGAACCAGUACCGUGAGGGAAAGGUGAAAAGCACCCCGGAAGGGGAGUGAAAUAGAACCUGAAACCGUGUGCUUACAAGUAGUCAGAGCCCGUUAAUGGGUGAUGGCGUGCCUUUUGUAGAAUGAACCGGCGAGUUACGAUUUGAUGCAAGGUUAAGCAGUAAAUGUGGAGCCGUAGCGAAAGCGAGUCUGAAUAGGGCGUUUAGUAUUUGGUCGUAGACCCGAAACCAGGUGAUCUACCCUUGGUCAGGUUGAAGUUCAGGUAACACUGAAUGGAGGACCGAACCGACUUACGUUGAAAAGUGAGCGGAUGAACUGAGGGUAGCGGAGAAAUUCCAAUCGAACCUGGAGAUAGCUGGUUCUCUCCGAAAUAGCUUUAGGGCUAGCCUCAAGUGAUGAUUAUUGGAGGUAGAGCACUGUUUGGACGAGGGGCCCCUCUCGGGUUACCGAAUUCAGACAAACUCCGAAUGCCAAUUAAUUUAACUUGGGAGUCAGAACAUGGGUGAUAAGGUCCGUGUUCGAAAGGGAAACAGCCCAGACCACCAGCUAAGGUCCCAAAAUAUAUGUUAAGUGGAAAAGGAUGUGGCGUUGCCCAGACAACUAGGAUGUUGGCUUAGAAGCAGCCAUCAUUUAAAGAGUGCGUAAUAGCUCACUAGUCGAGUGACACUGCGCCGAAAAUGUACCGGGGCUAAACAUAUUACCGAAGCUGUGGAUUGUCCUUUGGACAAUGGUAGGAGAGCGUUCUAAGGGCAUUGAAGCAUGAUCGUAAGGACAUGUGGAGCGCUUAGAAGUGAGAAUGCCGGUGUGAGUAGCGAAAGACGGGUGAGAAUCCCGUCCACCGAUUGACUAAGGUUUCCAGAGGAAGGCUCGUCCGCUCUGGGUUAGUCGGGUCCUAAGCUGAGGCCGACAGGCGUAGGCGAUGGAUAACAGGUUGAUAUUCCUGUACCACCUAUAAUCGUUUUAAUCGAUGGGGGGACGCAGUAGGAUAGGCGAAGCGUGCGAUUGGAUUGCACGUCUAAGCAGUAAGGCUGAGUAUUAGGCAAAUCCGGUACUCGUUAAGGCUGAGCUGUGAUGGGGAGAAGACAUUGAGUCUUCGAGUCGUUGAUUUCACACUGCCGAGAAAAGCCUCUAGAUAGAAAAUAGGUGCCCGUACCGCAAACCGACACAGGUAGUCAAGAUGAGAAUUCUAAGGUGAGCGAGCGAACUCUCGUUAAGGAACUCGGCAAAAUGACCCCGUAACUUCGGGAGAAGGGGUGCUCUUUAGGGUUAACGCCCAGAAGAGCCGCAGUGAAUAGGCCCAAGCGACUGUUUAUCAAAAACACAGGUCUCUGCUAAACCGUAAGGUGAUGUAUAGGGGCUGACGCCUGCCCGGUGCUGGAAGGUUAAGAGGAGUGGUUAGCUUCUGCGAAGCUACGAAUCGAAGCCCCAGUAAACGGCGGCCGUAACUAUAACGGUCCUAAGGUAGCGAAAUUCCUUGUCGGGUAAGUUCCGACCCGCACGAAAGGCGUAACGAUUUGGGCACUGUCUCAACGAGAGACUCGGUGAAAUCAUAGUACCUGUGAAGAUGCAGGUUACCCGCGACAGGACGGAAAGACCCCGUGGAGCUUUACUGUAGCCUGAUAUUGAAAUUCGGCACAGCUUGUACAGGAUAGGUAGGAGCCUUUGAAACGUGAGCGCUAGCUUACGUGGAGGCGCUGGUGGGAUACUACCCUAGCUGUGUUGGCUUUCUAACCCGCACCACUUAUCGUGGUGGGAGACAGUGUCAGGCGGGCAGUUUGACUGGGGCGGUCGCCUCCUAAAAGGUAACGGAGGCGCUCAAAGGUUCCCUCAGAAUGGUUGGAAAUCAUUCAUAGAGUGUAAAGGCAUAAGGGAGCUUGACUGCGAGACCUACAAGUCGAGCAGGGUCGAAAGACGGACUUAGUGAUCCGGUGGUUCCGCAUGGAAGGGCCAUCGCUCAACGGAUAAAAGCUACCCCGGGGAUAACAGGCUUAUCUCCCCCAAGAGUUCACAUCGACGGGGAGGUUUGGCACCUCGAUGUCGGCUCAUCGCAUCCUGGGGCUGUAGUCGGUCCCAAGGGUUGGGCUGUUCGCCCAUUAAAGCGGUACGCGAGCUGGGUUCAGAACGUCGUGAGACAGUUCGGUCCCUAUCCGUCGUGGGCGUAGGAAAUUUGAGAGGAGCUGUCCUUAGUACGAGAGGACCGGGAUGGACAUACCUCUGGUGUACCAGUUGUCGUGCCAACGGCAUAGCUGGGUAGCUAUGUGUGGACGGGAUAAGUGCUGAAAGCAUCUAAGCAUGAAGCCCCCCUCAAGAUGAGAUUUCCCAACUUCGGUUAUAAGAUCCCUCAAAGAUGAUGAGGUUAAUAGGUUCGAGGUGGAAGCAUGGUGACAUGUGGAGCUGACGAAUACUAAUCGAUCGAAGACUUAAUCAA
rnacentral:rRNA from 1 species